rnacentral:rRNA from 1 species
GACGAACGCUGGCGGCGUGCUUAACACAUGCAAGUCGAACGGAAAGGCCUUUUCGGAGGUACUCGAGUGGCGAACGGGUGAGUAACACGUGGGUGAUCUGCCCUGCACUCUGGGAUAAGCCUGGGAAACUGGGUCUAAUACCGGAUAGGACCGCACUUUAGUGUGUGUGGUGGAAAGUUUUUUCGGUGUAGGAUGAGCCCGCGGCCUAUCAGCUUGUUGGUGGGGUAAUGGCCUACCAAGGCGGCGACGGGUAGCCGGACUGAGAGGUUGGUCGGCCACAUUGGGACUGAGAUACGGCCCAGACUCCUACGGGAGGCAGCAGUGGGGAAUAUUGCACAAUGGGCGCAAGCCUGAUGCAGCGACGCCGCGGGGGGGAUGACGGCCUUCGGGUUGGAAACUCCCUUCGCCAGGGACGAAGCGUUUUGUGACGGUACCUGGAGAAGAAGCACCGGCUAACUACGUG